UAGGGAAUCUUCCACAAUGGACGCAAGUCUGAUGGAGCAACGCCGCGUGAGUGAAGAAGGCUUUCGGGUCGUAAAACUCUGUUAUUGAAGAAGAACGUGUGUGACAGUAACUGGUCAUGCAGUGACGGUAUUCAAUCAGAAAGUCACGGCUAACUACGUGCCAGCAGCCGCGGUAAUACGUAGGUGGCAAGCGUUGUCCGGAUUUAUUGGGCGUAAAGCGAGUGCAGGCGGUCUUUUAAGUCUGAUGUGAAAGCCUUCGGCUUAACCGAAGAAGGGCAUCGGAAACUGGGAGACUUGAGUGCAGAAGAGGAGAGUGGAACUCCAUGUGUAGCGGUGAAAUGCGUAGAUAUAUGGAAGAACACCAGUGGCGAAGGCGGCUCUCUGGUCUGUAACUGACGCUGAGGCUCGAAAGCGUGGGUAGCAAACAGGAUUAGAGUACCCUGGUAGU
rnacentral:rRNA from 1 species